rnacentral:rRNA from 1 species
UACGAAGGGGGCUAGCGUUGCUCGGAAUCACUGGGCGUAAAGGGCGCGUAGGCGGCCAUUCAAGUCAGAGGUGAAAGCCCAAGGCUCAACCUUGGAACUGCCUUUGAUACUGUUUGGCUUGAGACCGGAAGAGGUUAGUGGAACUGCGAGUGUAGAGGUGAAAUUCGUAGAUAUUCGCAAGAACACCAGUGGCGAAGGCGGCUAACUGGUCCGGUUCUGACGCUGAGGCGCGAAAGCGUGGGGAGCAAACAGG